CGGCUCUCCGGUGAAGUUCGUGUUUUGGUGAUUCGGUUCCGAUCAACCUGUAGAGAAAAGAAUGGUGAUCACGGUGAUAUAAAAAUUGCAUUAAACGGAGGCCGGGAAGGGCCUCAUCGGAGGCAAAAACCGAGAAGGGGCGCGGCGGCGCCGCUGGCUUUUGGCCGUGUUUUCCGGCCAUUUGGCCAGGAUUUUGGCUCCGAUUUGGCCAUUGGGGAAAUCAGCGUGGAAAAACGAGUCGGGGGUAUGAAAUUUACCUCGAUCGACGGUCGGAAAUCCCUCCGGUGCGGCGGCGGGUUGCGGCGGCUGGCUCCUGGUUCGUCU
rnacentral:lncRNA from 1 species